UACAGAGGGGGCAAGCGUUGUUCGGAAUUACUGGGCGUAAAGGGCGCGUAGGCGGCCCGCUAAGUCGGACGUGAAAUCCCUCGGCUCAACCGGGGAACUGCGUCCGAUACUGGCGGGCUUGAAUUCGGGAGAGGGAUGUGGAAUUCCAGGUGUAGCGGUGAAAUGCGUAGAUAUCUGGAGGAACACCGGUGGCGAAGGCGGCAUCCUGGACCGACAUUGACGCUGAGGCGCGAAAGCCAGGGGAGCAAACGGG
rnacentral:rRNA from 1 species